CAGCUAGAGAAGGUCUCUCGCCUGC
rnacentral:piRNA from 1 species